rnacentral:rRNA from 1 species
CGAACCUGCGAAGGCAAGCGGAUCUCUUAAAGCCGUUCUCAGUUCGGACUGUAGGCUGCAACUCGCCUACACGAAGCUGGAAUCGCUAGUAAUCGCGGAUCAGCACGCCGCGGUGAAUACGUUCCCGGGCCUUGUACACACCGCCCGUCACACCAUGAGAGUCUGUAACACCCAAAGCCGGUGGGAUAACCUUUAUAGGAGUCAGCCGUCUAAGGUAGGACAGAUGAUUAGGGUGAAGUCGUAACAAGGUAGC